AGCAACCUUCUCCAAUAGCAAAGAAACAAACAAAAAUCUCUGGUUUCAUUCGCCUUCCAUCCUGAGGCUUGGUUGAGGCAGAACAGUGUUGUAAUCCAGAAGAUUAUCACAGUGUAAAAUGAUAAGCAGGAUGUAAAGGAUGGUUGACCCCAUUACUUCAGCCAUGUGAUUCUAAUCAUCUCCUAACCCAGAGUCUUGGCUGUUCUGGAAUUGACUCUAUAGACCAAGCUGGCCGGUAGCUUACAGAGAUCUACAUGUCUCUGCCUCCAGAGUGCUGGGAUUAAAGAGGAGCAGUACCAGAAUAUUGAAACACCUUGCCCAAUAUUACACAGCCAAGAAGGCCAGUCUUGGAUUCUGAGCCCUGUUUGACUUCCUAUUCGGUACUCAAGCACUCUGCAUCCACUGUGUAGCCCAGGUACAAUGACUGCAUUCUACCUUUGUCUGCAGAUGAAGAAAAAUGCAGACAGGUUAAAUCCUUUGUUCAGGACAAUACAACAUGUACCAGAUGUGUCCCCACUCUUUCAAACAUGGGAGAUUUUGCUGGACUACAGAAGAAAAAUCCCAGGACUUACUGUGGUCAGGGGAAAGUCUUCUCAUCUCUUCGCAAGUGAGGCUUGACCAUGAUUAGGAGCUUCUGGCCUGAAUGGAGCCUCCAAUUGAUCUUCACACCAUGAAAAGUGAGAGCAAAUGAUGGCUUGUGCCCCCUUGACAGCACUGGUGUUAGGGCUCAGCGGACUGUGGAUGGGAAUGCCAUCCUGAAUUUCCCAAUGCCCUCUGCAUCAGUGGCAUUAUCUGGAUAUGACUACUGCAUGUUCUCUUUGAUUUCAGAUGAAGAAACACACACAUUCAGAAAAAAGAAUUCUUCAGGAAAAUGCAAUAAUGCUCAACCUUGAACCAAAAGAGACUGUUCCCAGCAUCUGCCACUUAUCACAUCUUACCACCAUUAUUCUGCCAAAGUCAGGAAGGUAUCUUCCCUUUCUUUGGUACUUAAGAUAGAAAGAAGGGAUCCCUGGACUCUUAUCCCAUAGGGACAUGUUUGUUAGUUCUCCUAGGACUCUGGUGCCUCUGCCCACUAAUGGUUAAUUAGCCACUGUUGAUAAUGAUGGUUAAGAUCAAAUCGACAACAACAUUCCAUUAGAAAUUUCCAUAGUGAUAAGGUCACCUCUGCUCCUUAGUGUCACUAGAGACAACCUUGACAUUAUCUUGUCUAUGGUGUCCUCUGAUUUCUCUUAAGCCACACUUCAACCCUCCUAAUACAUAAGUACUGUAUUUAAUGUCUUAUCUCUUUAAAUUGAGGAGCAGUUUACAUAAAUCAAGUACCUAGGUGUUGAAAAUGUUUUUAUUGUCAUGCAUUAGUACAUUGAGUUCCAUUAUCACAUGUUCAGACACACACACACACACAAAAUGGAUUUUGAUUAUAUUUAUUCUCUAUUAUCUUCUCUUGUUCCCCUUAUGCCCCUCUGUCAAGCCCUUAUGUUCCUUAAAACUUAGAACCAUUCUAGCAAAACAAUAUUUUAUUUAUUUUCUUCUUCUACUUCUUUUCACUCUGUAGACCAUGAUGGCCUCAAACCUGGAAAUCUGAGUGCUGGGAUUAAAGGCUUGAGUCACCAUAACUGGCUCUAUUAUCUGGAACAAAGGAAGGUGCUAGAGGCUGUGGCCCAGCGAUGUGAACGCUGGGGGCUGAGUAGGUGUGGACUCUGAAUGACCAAUUGUGCAUGUAUGCUACACUCAGUUCUCUCCAUGAAGCCAGGGAUGAGUCUCAGGCUAAUAGCCUUUAUGGAAGUGAGCUUGCUUUGCUUUGUUGGGCCCAAUUUAACAGACAUUUAGUUUUGUUUUAGAUUUUUCCUGCUUGCUUGCUAGCUUGUUUGAUGUGGUUUCACUUUCUAUCCAUGCAGGGUUCCUAGAUUGCCCUGCUGGAACUAGAAGGGAGGCCAAAAUCAAAGUCUUUUUGAUAAAGCACUGGAACUAUAUACCAGCCCAUCUGAACUGUCCUUCCCAAGGUAUGGAUCAUCCCAGCAUAGGAACACUGCCCUUCUUCCUCUUGACCCACAGGUAGUAUCCUAAGUACAGCCCAGCUCAUCUUCUCUCUUCUGCCAUACACUCAAUAAAAUAAAGUAAAUG